AUACAGAGGGUGCAAGCGUUAAUCAGAUUUACUGGGCGUAAAGCGCGCGUAGGUGGCUAAUUAAGUCAAAUGUGAAAUCCCCGAGCUUAACUUGGGAAUUGCAUUCGAUACUGGUUAGCUAGAGUAUGGGAGAGGAUGGUAGAAUUCCAGGUGUAGCGGUGAAAUGCGUAGAGAUCUGGAGGAAUACCGAUGGCGAAGGCAGCCAUCUGGCCUAAUACUGACACUGAGGUGCGAAAGCAUGGGGAGCAAACAGGAUUAGAUACCCUGGUAGUCCAUGCCGUAAACGAUGUCUACUAGCCGUUGGGGCCCUUGAGGCUUUAGUGGCGCAGCUAACGCGAUAAGUAGACCGCCUGGGGAGUACGGUCGCAAGACUAAAACUCAAAUGAAUUGACGGGG
rnacentral:rRNA from 1 species